rnacentral:rRNA from 1 species
UACAGAGGUCCCAAGCGUUGUUCGGAUUCACUGGGCGUAAAGGGUGCGCAGGUGGUCGGGUAAGUCUGAUGUGAAAUCCCGCAGCUCAACUGCGGAAUGGCAUUGGAUACUAUUUGGCUAGAGGGUUGGAGGGGGGACUGGAAUUCUCGGUGUAGCAGUGAAAUGCGUAGAGAUCGGGAGGAACAUCAGUUGCGAAGGCGGCUCUCUGGACCAGUACUGACGCUGAGGCACGAAAGCGUGGGGAGCAAACAGG